rnacentral:rRNA from 1 species
UAGCCCUAAAUCUUGAUGACCCCAAACACAAACAUCCGCCUGAGAACUACGAGCACAAACGCUUAAAACUCUAAGGACUUGGCGGUGCUCUAAACCCACCUAGAGGAGCCUGUUCUAUAAUCGAUAACCCACGAUUCACCCGACCACCUCUUGCCAAAACAGCCUAUAUACCGCCGUCGCCAGCCCACCUCGUGAGAGCACAACAGUGAGCCCAACAGCCCACAGCCCACUAACAAGACAGGUCGAGGUAUAGCCUAUGAGGUGGAAGAAAUGGGCUACAUUUUCUAAAAUAGAAGACCCAACGAAAAGGGGCUUGAAACCUGCCCCCAGAAGGCGGAUUUAGCAGUAAAGUAGGA